rnacentral:RNase_P_RNA from 1 species
UGAGAAGCUCAGGUAAUCGCUGGUUCUCCAGAGGGAACGAGAGGAAAGUCCGGGCUCCGCAGGGCAGGAUGCUCCCUAACGGGGAGUGGGGGCGACCCUAAGGAAAGUGCCACAGAAAAAAGACUACCUUGCGGCUUUGGCCACAGGGAAAAGGUGAAAAGGUGAGGUAAGAGCUCACCAGUUUUCCGGGUGACCGGAAAAGCUUGGUAAACCCCAUCCGGAGCAAGACCAAAUAGGAAGGCGUUUAAGGGCGGCCCGUCCAGGGCCUUCGGGUUGGUUGCUUGAGGCAGGAGGCAACUCCUGCCCUAGAUGAAUGAUUACCGCCCCGCAAGGGGAGACAGAACCCGGCUUAUGAGUUUCUCACUUU